rnacentral:rRNA from 1 species
UACGUAGGGGGCAAGCGUUGUCCGGAAUCAUUGGGCGUAAAGCGCGUGUAGGCGGCCCGGUAAGUCCGCUGUGAAAGUCGGGGGCUCAACCCUCGAAUGCCGGUGGAUACUGUCGGGCUAGAGUGCGGAAGAGGCGAGUGGAAUUCCUGGUGUAGCGGUGAAAUGCGCAGACAUCAGGAGGAACACCGAUUGCGAAGGCAGCUCGCUGGGACGUUACUGACGCUGAGACGCGAAAGCGUGGGGAGCAAACAGG